AUAUUUAUACCCCCGCUUUAAAAAAGGGGGGGUAUACUGUUUUUUAUACCCCCGCUUUAAAACCCCCGCUUUAAAAAAGGGGGGGUAUACUGUUUUACCUCUGUCUGUCAGUCUGUCCGUCCGUCCGUCCGUCCAUCAGUCCGUCCGUCAGUCCGUCCGUCAGUCCGUCUGUCAGUCAGUCAGUCCGUCCCAUGAAACUUUCGUCACAUUUUUCUCAGGAACUACACAUCCACCCUUUCUGUAAUUUGGUAUCAACAUUUAUAUAUGUCAGCCACACAGUGUGAUGCGUUUUCAGAUUCAUCACUUGACAACUUCCUGUUUACCGAACACUUGUCUGAUUUUACACAUGAUAGCCAGGUUGAAAAUUUUCAUCACAUUUUUCUCAGGAACUACAAUACAAGGAUUUCUGAAAUUUGGUUUCAAGAUUUAUAUAAGUCAGCUAUACUGUGUGAUGCGUUUUCAGAUUCAUCACUCGACAACUUCCUGUUUACAGAACACUUGUAUGAUUUUACACAUGAUAGCCAAGUUGAAAAUUUUCGUCACAUUUUUCUCAGGAACUACAAUACAAGGAUUUCUGAAAUUUGGUUUCAGGAUUUAUAUAAGUCAGCUAUACCGUGUGAUGCGUUUUCAGAUUCAUCAUUCGACUACUUCCUGUUUACCGAACACUUGUAUGAUUUUACACAUGAUAACCAAGUUAAAAAUUUUCGUCACAUUUUUCUCAGCUACAAUACAAGGAUUUCUGAAAUUUGGUUUUCAGGAUUUUUAUAAGUCAGCUAUACCGUGUGAUGCGUUUUCAGAUUCAUCACUCGACAACUUCCUGUUUACCGAACACUUGCAUCUUUUUACACUAUUAAUAUUAUCCACUUGCGGCGGGGGUAUCAUCAGUGAGCAGUAGCUCGCAGUUUCACUUGUUU
rnacentral:lncRNA from 1 species